rnacentral:rRNA from 1 species
AGAGUUUGAUCAUGGCUCAGGACGAACGCUGGCGGCGUGCUUAACACAUGCAAGUCGAACGAUGAAGCCCUUCGGGGUGGAUUAGUGGCGAACGGGUGAGUAACACGUGGGCAAUCUGCCCUUCACUCUGGGACAAGCCCUGGAAACGGGGUCUAAUACCGGAUAACACCGGCUUCUGCAUGGAAGCUGGUUGAAAGCUCCGGCGGUGAAGGAUGAGCCCGCGGCCUAUCAGCUUGUUGGUGGGGUAAUGGCCUACCAAGGCGACGACGGGUAGCCGGCCUGAGAGGGCGACCGGCCACACUGGGACUGAGACACGGCCCAGACUCCUACGGGAGGCAGCAGUGGGGAAUAUUGCACAAUGGGCGCAAGCCUGAUGCAGCGACGCCGCGUGAGGGAUGACGGCCUUCGGGUUGUAAACCUCUUUCAGUACCGACGAAGCGCGAGUGACGGUAGGUACAGAAGAAGCACCGGCCAACUACGUGCCAGCAGCGGCGGUAAUAC